GAUGAACGCUGGCGGCGUGCCUAAUACAUGCAAGUCGAGCGAACGGACGAGAAGCUUGCUUCUCUGAUGUUAGCGGCGGACGGGUGAGUAACACGUGGAUAACCUACCUAUAAGACUGGGAUAACUUCGGGAAACCGGAGCUAAUACCGGAUAAUAUUUUGAACCGCAUGGUUCAAAAGUGAAAGACGGUCUUGCUGUCACUUAUAGAUGGAUCCGCGCUGCAUUAGCUAGUUGGUAAGGUAACGGCUUACCAAGGCAACGAUGCAUAGCCGACCUGAGAGGGUGAUCGGCCACACUGGAACUGAGACACGGUCCAGACUCCUACGGGAGGCAGCAGUAGGGAAUCUUCCGCAAUGGGCGAAAGCCUGACGGAGCAACGCCGCGUGAGUGAUGAAGGUCUUCGGAUCGUAAAACUCUGUUAUUAGGGAAGAACAUAUGUGUAAGUAACUGUGCACAUCUUGACGGUACCUAAUCAGAAAGCCACGGCUAACUACGUGCCAGCAGCCGCGGUAAUACGUAGGUGGCAAGCGUUAUCCGGAAUUAUUGGGCGUAAAGCGCGCGUAGGCGGUUUUUUAAGUCUGAUGUGAAAGCCCACGGCUCAACCGUGGAGGGUCAUUGGAAACUGGAAAACUUGAGUGCAGAAGAGGAAAGUGGAAUUCCAUGUGUAGCGGUGAAAUGCGCAGAGAUAUGGAGGAACACCAGUGGCGAAGGCGACUUUCUGGUCUGUAACUGACGCUGAUGUGCGAAAGCGUGGGGAUCAAACAGGAUUAGAUACCCUGGUAGUCCACGCCGUAAACGAUGAGUGCUAAGUGUUAGGGGGUUUCCGCCCCUUAGUGCUGCAGCUAAUGCAUUAAGCACUCCGCCUGGGGAGUACGACCGCAAGGUUGAAACUCAAAGGAAUUGACGGGGACCCGCACAAGCGGUGGAGCAUGUGGUUUAAUUCGAAGCAACGCGAAGAACCUUACCAAAUCUUGACAUCCUUUGACAACUCUAGAGAUAGAGCUUUCCCCUUCGGGGGACAAAGUGACAGGUGGUGCAUGGUUGUCGUCAGCUCGUGUCGUGAGAUGUUGGGUUAAGUCCCGCAACGAGCGCAACCCUUAAGCUUAGUUGCCAUCAUUAAGUUGGGCACUCUAAGUUGACUGCCGGUGACAAACCGGAGGAAGGUGGGGAUGACGUCAAAUCAUCAUGCCCCUUAUGAUUUGGGCUACACACGUGCUACAAUGGACAAUACAAAGGGCAGCGAAACCGUGAGGUCAAGCAAAUCCCAUAAAGUUGUUCUCAGUUCGGAUUGUAGUCUGCAACUCGACUACAUGAAGCUGGAAUCGCUAGUAAUCGUAGAUCAGCAUGCUACGGUGAAUACGUUCCCGGGUCU
rnacentral:rRNA from 1 species